GAUCCUGGCUCAGGAUGAACGCUGGCGGCGUGCUUAACACAUGCAAGUCGAACGGGAAUUAUCUUAUUGAAACUUCGGUCGAUUUAAUUUAAUUCUAGUGGCGGACGGGUGAGUAACGCGUGGGUAACCUGCCUUAUACAGGGGGAUAACAGUCAGAAAUGGCUGCUAAUACCGCAUAAGCGCACGGUACUGCAUGGUACAGUGUGAAAAACUCCGGUGGUAUGAGAUGGACCCGCGUUGGAUUAG
rnacentral:rRNA from 1 species